UUCGGAGGUACUCGAGUGGCGAACGGGUGAGUAACACGUGGGCAAUCUGCCCUGCACUUCGGGAUAAGCCUGGGAAACUGGGUCUAAUACCGGAUAGGACGCUCAAGACGCAUGUCUUCUGGUGGAAAGCUUUUGCGGUGUGGGAUGGGCCCGCGGCCUAUCAGCUUGUUGGUGGGGUGACGGCCUACCAAGGCGACGACGGGUAGCCGGCCUGAGAGGGUGUCCGGCCACACUGGGACUGAGAUACGGCCCAGACUCCUACGGGAGGCAGCAGUGGGGAAUAUUGCACAAUGGGCGCAAGCCUGAUGCAGCGACGCCGCGUGGGGGAUGACGGCCUUCGGGUUGUAAACCUCUUUCACCAUCGACGAAGGUCCGGGUUUUCUCGGAUUGACGGUAGGUGGAGAAGAAGCACCGGCCAACUACGUGCCAGCAGCCGCGGUAAUACGUAGGGUGCGAGCGUUGUCCGGAAUUACUGGGCGUAAAGAGCUCGUAGGUGGUUUGUCGCGUUGUUCGUGAAAUCUCACGGCUUAACUGUGAGCGUGCGGGCGAUACGGGCAGACUAGAGUACUGCAGGGGAGACUGGAAUUCCUGGUGUAGCGGUGGAAUGCGCAGAUAUCAGGAGGAACACCGGUGGCGAAGGCGGGUCUCUGGGCAGUAACUGACGCUGAGGAGCGAAAGCGUGGGGAGCGAACAGGAUUAGAUACCCUGGUAGUCCACGCCGUAAACGGUGGGUACUAGGUGUGGGUUUCCUUCCUUGGGAUCCGUGCCGUAGCUAACGCAUUAAGUACCCCGCCUGGGGAGUACGGCCGCAAGGCUAAAACUCAAAGGAAUUGACGGGGGCCCGCACAAGCGGCGGAGCAUGUGGAUUAAUUCGAUGCAACGCGAAGAACCUUACCUGGGUUUGACAUGCACAGGACGCGUCUAGAGAUAGGCGUUCCCUUGUGGCCUGUGUGCAGGUGGUGCAUGGCUGUCGUCAGCUCGUGUCGUGAGAUGUUGGGUUAAGUCCCGCAACGAGCGCAACCCUUGUCUCAUGUUGCCAGCGGGUAAUGCCGGGGACUCGUGAGAGACUGCCGGGGUCAACUCGGAGGAAGGUGGGGAUGACGUCAAGUCAUCAUGCCCCUUAUGUCCAGGGCUUCACACAUGCUACAAUGGCCGGUACAAAGGGCUGCGAUGCCGUAAGGUUAAGCGAAUCCUUUUAAAGCCGGUCUCAGUUCGGAUUGGGGUCUGCACCUCGACCCCAUGAAGUCGGAGUCGCUAGUAAUCGCAGAUCAGCAACGCUGCGGUGAAUACGUUCCCGGGCCUUGUACACACCGCCCGUCACGUCAUGAAAGUCGGUAACACCCGAAGCCAG
rnacentral:rRNA from 1 species